AACGAACGCUGGCGGCAUGCCUAACACAUGCAAGUCGAACGAGACCUUCGGGUCUAGUGGCGCACGGGUGCGUAACGCGUGGGAACCUGCCCUUAGGUUCGGAAUAACUCCCCGAAAGGGGUGCUAAUACCGGAUAAUGUCUUCGGACCAAAGAUUUAUCGCCUUUGGAUGGGCCCGCGUUGGAUUAGCUAGUUGGUAGGGUAAAAGCCUACCAAGGCGACGAUCCAUAGCUGGUCUGAGAGGAUGAUCAGCCACACUGGGACUGAGACACGGCCCAGACUCCUACGGGAAGCAGCAGUGGGGAAUAUUGGACAAUGGGCGAAAGCCUGAUCCAGCAAUGCCGCGUGAGUGAUGAAGGCCUGAGGGUUGUAAAGCUCUUUUACCCGGGAUGAUAAUGACAGUACCGGGAGAAUAAGCUACGGCUAACUCCGUG
rnacentral:rRNA from 1 species